AUUGAACGCUGGCGGCAUGCCUUACACAUGCAAGUCGAACGGCAGCACGGGAGCAAUCCUGGUGGCGAGUGGCGAACGGGUGAGUAAUAUAUCGGAACGUGCCCAGUAGUGGGGGAUAACUGCUCGAAAGAGCAGCUAAUACCGCAUACGACCUGAGGGUGCAAGGGGGGGAUCGCAAGACCUCUCGCUAUUGGAGCGGCCGAUAUCAGAUUAGCUAGUUGGUGGGGUAAAGGCCUACCAAGGCAACGAUCUGUAGUUGGUCUGAGAGGACGACCAGCCACACUGGGACUGAGACACGGCCCAGACUCCUACGGGAGGCAGCAGUGGGGAAUUUUGGACAAUGGGCGCAAGCCUGAUCCAGCAAUGCCGCGUGCAGGAAGAAGGCCUUCGGGUUGUAAACUGCUUUUGUCAGGGAGGAAAUCCUCUAGGUUAAUACCCUUGGGGGGAUGACGGUACCUGAAGAAUAAGCACCGGCUAACUACGUGCCAGCCGCCGCCGUAAUAC
rnacentral:rRNA from 1 species